ensembl:lncRNA
AUGUUGUCCAGCAGGUGGGGCCGCCGCAGGUCACCUGGGGCCGUCCACGCACCCAGAGCAGGUGGGGCCCCAGGCCGGGUCCCCCAAGGUCACACCACCUGGCCAUACUUCUCCUGGUUUCCCAAGACGAUUCCCAAGGCCAAGAGAAAAAGAGGCCAUGACAGGGCCACUCAGGCAGGGCCACACUGCCGUCCUAGUGCCAGGCAGCCGGUGGACACUGGCCCAGGGAGACGGGGCUCUGUGGGCAGUGGGAUGAGGGGAGAAACGCAGGCACACGCCUGGGAAGCCGAGCAGGGAGCCCACAUCAUCUUGCCCUUGCUCCAUAACCUUGUGUGCUGGGUCCCAGCCCUCUCCCGGGGCAGGGGUGGGAGCAGCCUGGGGGAACCUGCCCCGCCCUGCACCCAGGGGGCUGUCAGGCCCCAGGAAGAUUUUCAGGAAUUCCACACCCAGCGACCACCCAGCAGGAGGCGGGGGAGAGGCAGGCGGCUUUCCCAGAAGCACAGGCGCGGCACAGCCGGCUUCCGUUACCCGGUGUUUCUCACGCCCGCCAGCAGCGAUGGAGCCCCCACACGUCCCGGGGGUUCUCCUCCAGCCUAGCCUGGUAGCCUCUGGCUGGAAAAUCCUGACUUGGAUGACCUUCCAGAAUGUUCUGUGGCAGAGCCAUUGUGGGGAGCAAACCGGACUAGACUGUUACUGGAAUUAAGACUUAUUCUAUGCAUCUGCUCUCCCACAAUAUGGCGCUGGGAGAGAAGUAAACAGCUUCCGCACAGCUGCCUCCAGUUCAACCAAUUAACUGUAGGACUUGCUCCUGAUUGGAGAGCAGCGUACUCGGCGUGUGGGCAUCCGAGUUGGGAUUGGCAGAGAAGGACUAUAAAGGAGGAGAGAGACGGCAUGCACCAGGAACAUCUAUGGGGAACAUCUAAGGGAACCCGUGCAGCCCCCGAGAAAGCCGGCCGGCGGUGUGCCGCUCCCCUGCGGAAGUGGGGAAUGUGGCCAGGGGGAACUGCCCUUCCACGGAGGUAGAAGGGAUAGUAGCCAACCCGGGAAGAACCAGCAGCAAACCCGGGCAGGGCCGAGCAGACGAAAGAACAGCGCAGGGUCCUGUGUCGUUCCUCCACGAAGAGGGGGAGCGACAUAAUGGUGCCGUGACUCGGAUAUGAAGCCUAGGCAGGGUUCAGUGUUGCUCCUCCACGAAGAGGGGGAGCGACAGCCAUGCAGUGGCCUAAAGACCCAGAGACAAAUGCAUGGGAAACGAAAGGACAGUUGAGGGUGGAAGAGGAGACUGCUAGGUGCCCCCUGGCAUUUGGGGUCUUUGGGGGUGGCCUGAGGGGGGGACAGACACACAGGUGUCCAGUAUGGGUUUGCCAGAGGGAGCAGUGUGGGGCAGAGGCACAGCCUGUGCCUCCUGGGGUCCCCAGGCUGGAAGGGGGUGCUGUAGGGCAGCCAGGAGGGCUGGAGGGUCUUCUUGCAAUGUUUAGCCCACCAGCGGUCACGCCAUGGACAUGAAGGAAAAGGUCACUUUGAGGACCCACCCGCCACAGACGAGGUGACCUUGGGCUAUCCUUCCGGGUCUCUGACCUUGGUCUCCUGCUCUGAGAACUUGACCUCCCAGAGGCCAGGUAAGGGCCAAGUGGGACAACGCACGAGUCAGGAGCGGCCAGGGUGCGUGGACUUUGGGGCAGAGCAGGUUGGUGUCCACUGGGCUUCCCAGAGACCACCUUCCACUGGGAUCUCUGUCACAGGAUGGCCCUGAGGCGUGCACGGGACAGAGCGCCCUUGCAGCACUCAGAGGACUCGGUGGUGGUCCACGCCGGCCGGCUCCUGGUCACCCCCUGUCCCUGGGUCCCUCCCUGAGCACGCAGGGACAUCUGGUAACCCCAUUGUCUGCUGUGUGCAAGGGAGAAAGUGUUAGACGUGAGGGCCAGAUGGAGUUUGCCUAACGUGUCUGGUGUCUUCUUUGCUGCCUUUUCAACUCUUCUUGGGAAUGUAGCAAAACAGCAGCUGUUCAUCAUUUCAUGAAUAAAGAACUAUGUAAAUUUCA